GUGCUUGCUUUAGUAGCACAUCUACUUAAGUAGGAAUGAUACAGAGAAGAUUAGCAUGGCCCUUAGACAAGGAAGACACACAAAUUCAUGAAACAUUCCGUUAAAAA
rnacentral:snRNA from 1 species